rnacentral:rRNA from 1 species
UACGUAGGUGACUAGCGUUGUCCGGAUUUACUGGGCGUAAAGAGCGCGCAGGCGGUCGUUCAAGUCGAGUGUGAAAGCCCCCGGCUCAACUGGGGAGGGUCAUUCGAUACUGAUCGACUCGAAGGCAGGAGAGGGAAGCGGAAUUCCCGGUGUAGUGGUGAAAUGCGUAGGAUAUCGGGAGGGAACACCAGUGGCGAAGGCGGCUCACUGGCCCGAUACUGACGCUGAGGCACGAAAGCGUGGGGAGCAAACAGG